AGAGACCUUCAAGGUCAUCAUUCUAGUUUUUGGUGGUGGAGGAGACGGUGGUGCAGGCGGUGUUGUUGGUGGUGGAGGAAUAAUUUUUUUUAUACCUGUGUUACUAUGAGUUGGACUUGGUGAUCCUUAGAUGUCCCUUCCAACUGUUUCUAUUCCAUGAUUCUGUGCGGUGGAGGAGGAGACAUAGAAUCCUUAUUGUUGGAAGAGACCUUCAAGGUCAUCGAUGUAGUUUUUGGUGGUGGAGGAGGCCAUGGUGGAAGAGGUGGUUGUGGAGGAAUUAUUUUUAGACGUGUGGUACCAUGAGUUUUACUUGAUGAUCCUAAUGUUUCUCAUCUAACUGUGGAUAUUCCAUGAUUCUAUGUGGUGGAGGAGGAGACAUACAAUCCUUAUUCUUGGAGGAGACCUUCAAGGUCAUCGUUCUAGUGUUUGGUGGUGGAGGAGGCGGUGGUAGAGGAUGUAGUGGUGGUGGUGAAGGAAUUAUUUUUAGACCUGUGGUACCAUGAGUUUUGCUUCAUGAUCCUUUGAUUUCUCAUCCAAUGUGGAUAUUCCAUGAUUCUAUGUGGUGGAGGAGAAGAUAUAGAAUCAUUCUUUUUUGAAGAGACCUUCAAGGUCAUCAUUGUAGUUUGUGGUGAUGGAGGAGGCGGUGGUGGAGGAGGUGAUGGUGGUGGUGGAGGAAUUACUUUUAUACCUGUGGUACCAUGAGUUUUACUUGAUGAUCCUAUGUUUCUCAUCCAACUGUGGAUAUUCCAUGAUUCUAUGUGGUGGAGGAGGAGACAUAGAAUCCUUAUUGUUGGAAGAGACUUAAAAUAUGAUUUUUAUAGCAGUGGUUGAUGAGGCGGUGCUGGUGGUGGUGGAGGAAUAAUUCUUUUUAUACCUGUGUUACUAUGAGUUGGACUUGGUGAUCCUUAUAUGUCCCUUCCAAGUGUUAAUAUUCCAUGAUUCUAUGCGGUGGCAGAGGAGACAUAGAAUCAUUCUUGUGGAAAGAGACCUUCAAGGUCAUCGUUCUAGUUUUUGGUGGUGGAGGAGGCGGUCGUGGAGGAGGUGGUGGUGGCGGAAUUACGUUUACACCUGUGGUACCAUGAGUUUUACUUGAUGAUCCUAAUGUUUCUCAUCCGACUGUGGAUAUUCCAUGAUUCUAUGUGGUGGAUUAGGAGACACAGAUUCAUUAUUGUUGGAAGAGACCUUCAAGGUCAUCGUUGUAGUUUUUGGUGAUGGAGGAGGCGGUGGUGGAGGAGGUGAUCUUGGUGGUGGAGGAAUUACUUUUAUACCUGUGAUACCAUGAUUUUUACUUGUUGAUCCUAAUGUCUCUCAUCCAACUGUGGAUAUUCCAUGAUUCUAUGUGGUGGAGGAGGAGACAUAGAAUCCUUAUUUUUGGAAGAUACUUAAAAGAUCAUUUUUAUAGCAGUGGUGGAGGAGGCGGUUUUGGUGGUGGUGCAGGAAUACUU
rnacentral:lncRNA from 1 species